GAUGAACGCUGGCGGCGUGCCUAAAACAUGCAAGUCGAGCGGCAGCGAGUUCCUCGCUAAUGUUCGGAUUUGUUUACCAAUGAUGCAAGUAAUUUAGUCAGAGUAACAAAGUAACGACUAGUUGUUUAAGUUAAAAGGUAGAUUUAAUAUUCCGGAUAUGAGCGAGGAAUGUCGGCGAGCGGCGGACGGCUGAGUAGCGCGUAGGAACAUACCCCAAAGUGAGGCAUAACCGCCCGAAAGGGUGGCUAAUACCGCAUAUUGUCUUCGGAUGAAAGCUUUUAGCGCUUUGGGAAUGGCCUGCGUUUGAUUAGCUAGUUGGUGAGGUAAGGGCUUACCAAGGCGAUGAUCAAUAGCUGGUUUGAGAGAAUGAUCAGCCAGACUGGAACUGAGACACGGUCCAGACUCCUACGGGAGGCAGCAGUUGGGAAUUUUCCACAAUGGGCGAAAGCCUGAUGGAGCAACGCCGCGUGCAGGAAGAAUGCCUUCGGUGUAA
rnacentral:rRNA from 1 species